rnacentral:lncRNA from 1 species
UCCUCACAAUCUCAAGGGUGUAGCUGAUCUUUCCAGCUACAAAGUUUCCUGGCAACUGUGAAGUCGUUUUCAAGCUGAGUGAUCUGCUGUCCUGGCUGAGCAAGUUCCACUUCGUGUUUCUGUUGGGCAGCUAUUGCAUCCAAAUGCAAUGACUGAACCUAGGGUUCAAACAGCCCCCGCAGCCACUAACCACUAUGGUGAUAGAUGGCCUCAAGCUGGUUUGACUGUUCCAGACUUCAGGAAAACUUCUAUCCCUUCUCACAAACACAAAACAAAGCUGAGGCGAACUGUAAGAUGGACUUGCAAGGGAGAAUAUAGCACAGGACAGUCCUGCGACUUCUCGCGACAAGACCUGGAGAGUCAGCAUUCACCAUGAAGUCAUUUACUGGAGACCGACAGUAGUUCAAGAUUCCUCAGAGAUACCCGGACAUAUGGACACUCCAUGACCACCAGUGAAUAAGCACCAAAUAGCAUCAAGUAACGUUUAAAUGCUAAAAUGUUAUGGAUGUUGGUACCAGGCAGUCAGAUUCAGAGAGCUAGCA